AUAUACCUCUGCUGAUUGUUGGCA
rnacentral:siRNA from 1 species